rnacentral:tRNA from 1 species
GCGGCUAUAGCUCAGUUGGUUAGAGCGCCUGACUGUGGAUCAGGAGGUCGAGGGUUCGAACCCCUCUAGCCGCCCCA